rnacentral:lncRNA from 1 species
ACUUGGCGUUCCAUGCUUGGCUUGGCGUUGGUCGCUUCGCUUCGUGGUCCUCGCGUGGAUUGGCAUUUCCUCCCUGUGCAUUCCUUUGCUGGGCUUGACCUUUUCUUGGCUGGGCUUGGCAUUCCCCUGGCUGGGCUGGGGGUUUCCUUGGCGGAAUUUGCCAAUUAUUUUCUGACUAUAAGGAAAAACAGAUGCCAAAAAACUGUUCUGAAAACAGCAAUCCAGAGCAAGACUUAAAGCUGACAUCAGAGGAAGAGCCACAAAGGCUUAAAGGAAGUGAAAAUAGCCAGCAUGAGG